GCAAGUCCGAGCGGACAGAUGGGAGCUUGCUCCCUGAUGUUAGCGGCGGACGGGUGAGUAACACGUGGGUAACCUGCCUGUAAGACUGGGAUAACUCCGGGAAACCGGGGCUAAUACCGGAUGGUUGUUUGAACCGCAUGGUUCAAACAUAAAAGGUGGCUUCGGCUACCACUUACAGAUGGACCCGCGGCGCAUUAGCUAGUUGGUGAGGUAACGGCUCACCAAGGCAACGAUGCGUAGCCGACCUGAGAGGGUGAUCGGCCACACUGGGACUGAGACACGGCCCAGACUCCUACGGGAGGCAGCAGUAGGGAAUCUUCCGCAAUGGACGAAAGUCUGACGGAGCAACGCCGCGUGAGUGAUGAAGGUUUUCGGAUCGUAAAGCUCUGUUGUUAGGGAAGAACAAGUACCGUUCGAAUAGGGCGGUACCUUGACGGUACCUAACCAGAAAGCCACGGCUAACUACGUGCCAGCAGCCGCGGUAAUACGUAGGUGGCAAGCGUUGUCCGGAAUUAUUGGGCGUAAAGGGCUCGCAGGCGGUUUCUUAAGUCUGAUGUGAAAGCCCCCGGCUCAACCGGGGAGGGUCAUUGGAAACUGGGGAACUUGAGUGCAGAAGAGGAGAGUGGAAUUCCACGUGUAGCGGUGAAAUGCGUAGAGAUGUGGAGGAACACCAGUGGCGAAG
rnacentral:rRNA from 1 species